rfam:Citrus clementina cultivar Clemenules unplaced genomic scaffold scaffold_4, whole genome shotgun sequence.
GCGCUGAGCGCUGAGCGCAGAGCGAACUAUUCUUUCGCCUUUUACUAAAGAAUACCGUGUGCUUGUCGCUUAAAGCGGCACUCGCCUAUUCUUGGAUGGCUGUUUCCCUGGAACCU